rnacentral:rRNA from 1 species
GUGCCAGCCGCCGCGGUAAUACGUAGGGUGCAAGCGUUAAUCGGAAUUACUGGGCGUAAAGCGUACGCAGGCGGCUUUGCAAGACAGGUGUGAAAUCCCCGGGCCUAACCUGGGAACUGCAUUUGUGACUGCAUGGCUAGAGUUUGUCAGAGGGGGGUGGAAUUCCACGUGUAGCAGUGAAAUGCGUAGAUAUGUGGAGGAACACCGAUGGCGAAGGCAGCCCCCUGGGAUGUGACUGACGCUCAUGUACGAAAGCGUGGGGAGCAAACAGGAUUAGAAACCCGAGUAGUCC